GGCGCGGUGGUCGAGGACGCGGUGAACGCCGUCGGCGUCGACGUCAACACCGCGUCGGUUCCGCUGCUGGCCCGCGUCUCC
rnacentral:tRNA from 1 species